AACGCACAUUGCGCCUCCUGGUAUUCCGGGAGGCACGCCUGUCCGAGCGCCAUUACACCCCCCAAGCCUUGCUUGAUGUUGGGCCAUGACGUGCUGUCAAGCCCCAAACCUUUAGGCGCCCCCUACUGGCCGCGAGCGUAGCAAGAAUUUAUUUCCCUCGUUCCGCGUAUCCAAUGGGUGGGUUGCCGAUUGACCCCUAAAUUUUACAAGGUUUGGCCUCGGAUCAGGCGGGGAUACCCGCUGAACUUAA
rnacentral:misc_RNA from 1 species